AGAGAUGCUGUGGAUGUGUUGAAGGUGGGGCAGAUUCAGGUACAACAGGAGGACCACAUGCUGUCACUGUCGGAUUUUCACUGGAGAGUCUGGACGCUCCAAGGUGGAUACCUGCCCUGUCCUGUCCAGAGGGACCUGGAAAGCAGUGUCUUUGAGGCAUGCUGCUCUGAAGACAACUCCACGUGACCACCUUUAAAGCACUCCUACCCGACUCCCAGCAGGCAGAUGGCGAGACUCAGCUCAAAGUCAUACCCUCGUAAGAGACAGAUAUUUAUCCUAGGAUCUAAAACCAAAGCUUGGAAUCUACUCAACAUGUCACAUGCUGUUCUCUCUUCCUCUGAAGACAGCAUCCAGUUGGGCCUGUCAAUCACCUGGCCAGGAGCCCACCUGCUCCUCCCUCCCCACACCAGGAAAGCUGAUUGACCUGAAGCCAUGCUAGGAGGAUGGGCAGAAUAACUAUUCCUUUUAUGAAUGUACUUUCUCUAGUCUUAAUUCAGGAAAUGUGACUCUUCAUUGUCUAUCUUUUUACAUCUCUGUCUUGGGUCCUGGCCCAAAGCCUGAGUGUGCUUUCCCCGACAGUCUGGACUUUAUUGCUCUUUCUUUGAAGCCCUCCCUCCGCCUCCUCUACCUUUUCUAAUCUAUUCCUGUCCCAGCAGCUGCCAGGCCUUACAGAUUCCCAACCCUGUUGUUUGUCUCCUAAA
rnacentral:lncRNA from 1 species